rnacentral:rRNA from 1 species
AAAAUUAGAGUGUUCAAAGCAGGCAGAUCCAAUUUUCUGCCACCGAAUACAUUAGCAUGGGAUAAUGGAAUAGGACCCUGUCCUCCUAUUUUCAGUUGGUUUUGGCAGCGCGAGGACUAGGGUAAUGAUUAAUAGGGAUAGUUGGGGGCAUUAAUAUUUAAUUGUCAGAGGUGAAAUUCUUGGAUUUAUGAAAGAUUAACUUCUGCGAAAGCAUCUGCCAAGGAUGUUUUCAUUAAUCAAGAACGAAAGUUAGGGGAUCGAAGACGAUCAGAUACCGUCGUAGUCUUAACCAUAAACGAUGCCGACCAGCGAUUAGGAGACGUUGAAUACAAAACACCACCAUCGGUGCGGUCGUCCUUGGCGUCGGUCUUUCGGGGCCGGCGCGGGACGGCUUAGC